UUCUCAUGUUCUAUAAGCAAUAUGACAACUAUAGUUGGUUCAUUGAUAAUGUUAAGUUUAUGUGAUAAUUGUAGUAAAUCCUCCAUAUUACAGACUUUCAACAUGAAUUCAAUGAUAAGUAAAUCAAAGGCGAGACAUGUGCACUCUUACUUUGGUUAUAAAAUGUUUAAAGUGUUGAUUAAAGUACAUGUACCUAAAUUUCAAUAUAUUUUUGUUUCAGAGUGCUUAAGGAGCAUCCUUAACAUUUUGAGAGAAAAAUGAAGACUUUGUUGAAGGGGGAAAUGUGUUUGGUACAUUACUCACAUGUUUGCCUGAAGAAGCUGCUGUUCCUUUGGAAACAUGUCUUACUUGUUUUCUGAUAUGAUAAAUGGGAGUGAGAAAAUUGUUUUGAAACACCAGCAAAAAAGACUAGAUUGUCAUUCAGUCCUGACCCCAUACAGUGUCUCUGCAGAUGAAGAUAGAUCAGGCCAAUCCAGAAACAAGAAAAGGGACAAUUUUUAGCACGUUCAUCUAUGGAGACAUGUAUCUAAAAAAGCAGAUUUUUUUUCAGUUUUAGUAGAACUUGUUGAACUUUUACUAUUUUUAAACUGUUUAUUUUACAUUUAUAUGUUGAUAUUUUGUUUUUUAAAAUUGCUGUAUUUCUUUCAUCUUGCUAUUCAGUCCCACAUAACAAAAUCUGCUGAAAUUAUUAUUUCCAUAUUUUAUAGAAGUGUCCUUUUGCAUUGUUGAUAGCAGUAAAUAUAUUUUGUCUCAAG